rnacentral:rRNA from 1 species
GAGUUUGAUCAGUGGCUCAGGACAACGCUGGCGGCGUGCUUAACACAUGCAAGUCGAACGGAAAGGCCCAGCUUGCUGGGUACUCGAGUGGCGAACGGGUGAGUAACACGUGGGUGAUCUGCCCCAAACUUCGGGAUAAGCCUGGGAAACUGGGUCUAAUACCGGAUAUGACCUGCUCCUGCAUGGGGGUUGGUGGAAAGCUUUUGCGGUUUGGGAUGGGCCCGCGGCCUAUCAGCUUGUUGGUGGGGUAAUGGCCUACCAAGGCGACGACGGGUAGCCGACCUGAGAGGGUGUUCGGCCACACUGGGACUGAGACACGGCCCAGACUCCUACGGGAGGCAGCAGUGGGGAAUAUUGCACAAUGGGCGCAAGCCUGAUGCAGCGACGCCGCGUGAGGGAUGACGGCCUUCGGGUUGUAAACCUCUUUCGCCAGGGACGAAGCGCAAGUGACGGUACCUGGAGAAGAAGCACCGGCCAACUACGUG